GAUGGAAACUACGCUUUCCGACAUGCAUUGCGCCAACCCAAGUUGAGGGCAAUCAAGCCGCCCUACCUUGCCUCAGAUAGAGACUGUGAAGGCUUGUCUGCAAUCAAAGACAUAAACUCCACAAAAUAAGGGAGAAGUGACCCUCUGUUGUUAAAACACACCGAACACUGAGUAAAAAUGUGAUAUUAAUGCAGUUUUAUGGGCUGGGGCACACAAGCAAAUGACUGAAACAGGUGAGAACCAACUUAGGCCCCUUGCAGACAGCUGAAUAAAACCCCACAUCUGCUUUGAACUGGGAUAUAUGGCAAUGUGGAUUCAGAUAACCCAGUUCAUAUUGUGGCGUUUUCUGCCUUGAUAUUCUGAUUAUAUGGCUGUGUGGAAGGAUGUGGGUGAACUACAACUCCCCCAAAUCAAAGUGAAUUUUCCCUAAAGACCUCGAGUAUUUUUUGCUGGUCAUGGGGGCUCGGUGCCAAGUGAAUUCCAGGUUCAUCAUUGGUGGAGUUCAGAGUGCUCAUUGAUUGCAAGUGAACUAUACAUCCCAGUACCUACAACUCCUAUAAAUCAUGGCAGUGUUGCUCAGCAGUAAGUCCAACUACGACUAGCGUCCUAUGUCCAGGAGACAGAUUCAACUGGCUGGAACAGCAGACUAGCUGAGAUGCUUCAUAACACUCCACUAAAAGAAGAAAAGAUGUGUUGCAGCCGGAAAAAGCAGAUCCUUUAACCAAGAUCAGUGACCUGCAAGCAGCAUUCAUGAUGCAGAUGUACAGAAGGGUUGGUUUGGAGUCAUGUUUGUUUUGCAGCUGGUUUUCCCCACCUCCUUGCCAGCAAAAACUUCCUAUACCACAUUUCUAAAUGUUAGUGUGCCAUUUCAAGCCACAAAAGCAGAACCGCUAAGAGGACUGGCAGUACUAGUUGUUUCCUAUAAGAGUGUUUGUCAAAGCAGCCUUAUUGUGAAAAAUUAGGCAUGUUUUGGCAGUGGGUGAAGUUUGCACUAGGACUGGGAAAUGAAAGUCUUGAGGGGAAAAAACAAAGCAGGAAUAUGGAAAAGUUAUUGAGUGGGUAAUGGGACACAACUCCCAGAAUAUCACAAUCUACAUAGCCAUACCUCAAACAUUCAGUGAAAUUAGGGGCACAGAACACCCAUAAAAGUGAAAAACAGUGAAUAAAGAAAAAUUUUAAUUCGAA